rnacentral:rRNA from 1 species
UACGAGGGGGGCGAGCGUUGUUCGGAAUUAUUGGGCGUAAAGGGUGCGUAGGCGGUUUGGUAAGUCUUGUGUGAAAUCUACAGGCUCAACUUGUAGUCUGCACGAGAAACUGCCGGGCUUGAGUAUGGGAGAGGUGAGUGGAAUUCCUGGUGUAGCGGUGAAAUGCGUAGAUAUCAGGAGGAACACCUGUGACGAAAGCGGCUCACUGGACCAUAAACUGACGCUGAUGCACGAAAGCUAGGGGAGCAA